rnacentral:rRNA from 1 species
CGAUGAAGCCUUUCGGGGUGGAUUAGUGGCGAACGGGUGAGUAACACGUGGGCAAUCUGCCCUUCACUCUGGGACAAGCCCUGGAAACGGGGUCUAAUACCGGAUAACACUCUGUCCUGCAUGGGACGGGGUUAAAAGCUCCGGCGGUGAAGGAUGAGCCCGCGGCCUAUCAGCUUGUUGGUGGGGUAAUGGCCUACCAAGGCGACGACGGGUAGCCGGCCUGAGAGGGCGACCGGCCACACUGGGACUGAGACACGGCCCAGACUCCUACGGGAGGCAGCAGUGGGGAAUAUUGCACAAUGGGCGAAAGCCUGAUGCAGCGACGCCGCGUGAGGGAUGACGGCCUUCGGGUUGUAAACCUCUUUCAGCAGGGAAGAAGCGAAAGUGACGGUACCUGCAGAAGAAGCGCCGGCUAACUACGUGCCAGCAGCCGCGGUAAUACGUAGGGCGCAAGCGUUGUCCGGAAUUAUUGGGCGUAAAGAGCUCGUAGGCGGCUUGUCACGUCGGAUGUGAAAGCCCGGGGCUUAACCCCGGGUCUGCAUUCGAUACGGGCUAGCUAGAGUGUGGUAGGGGAGAUCGGAAUUCCUGGUGUAGCGGUGAAAUGCGCAGAUAUCAGGAGGAACACCGGUGGCGAAGGCGGAUCUCUGGGCCAUUACUGACGCUGAGGAGCGAAAGCGUGGGGAGCGAACAGGAUUAGAUACCCUGGUAGUCCACGCCGUAAACGUUGGGAACUAGGUGUUGGCGACAUUCCACGUCGUCGGUGCCGCAGCUAACGCAUU